rnacentral:rRNA from 1 species
GACGGACGCUGGCGGCGUGCCUAAUACAUGCAAGUUGAGCGCUGAAGGUUGGUACUUGUACCAACUGGAUGAGCAGCGAACGGGUGAGUAACGCGUGGGGAAUCUGCCUUUGAGCGGGGGACAACAUUUGGAAACGAAUGCUAAUACCGCAUAAAAACUUUAAACACAAGUUUUAAGUUUGAAAGAUGCAAUUGCAUCACUCAAAGAUGAUCCCGCGUUGUAUUAGCUAGUUGGUGAGGUAAAGGCUCACCAAGGCGAUGAUACAUAGCCGACCUGAGAGGGUGAUCGGCCACAUUGGGACUGACACACGGCCCAAACUCCUACGGGAGGCAGCAGGAGGGAAUCUUCGGCAAUGGACGAAAGUCUGACCGAGCAACGCCGCGUGAGUGAAGAAGGGUUUCGGAUCGUAAAACUCUGUUGGUAGAGAAGAACGUUGGUGAGAGUGGAAAGCUCAUCAAGUGACGGUAACUACCCAGAAAGGGACGGCUAACUACGUG